ACAUUAUAUUUUGUCAUUAAAAAUCAUUCUAGGCCACCACAAAAUUUUAUACAAAAUCAUGUCCAUAUAACGUAACUUUUAAUAGGUAAUCUAUUCUAAUAAAAAACCAAAAGCUAGUAUCAAAUAUGCUCCCUAUAAAGUAGACACUUAAAAAGUGCAAUAUUU
rnacentral:sRNA from 1 species